rfam:Camelus ferus unplaced genomic scaffold scaffold595, whole genome shotgun sequence.
CCAAAGGCCCUUCUUAGGGCCACCUCUCCGUUCACUUGAAAGGGUUU